CCUACGGGAGGCUGCAGUGGGGAAUAUUGGACAAUGGGCGAAAGCCUGAUCCAGCCAUGCCGCGUGUGUGAAGAAGGCCUUCGGGUUGUAAAGCACUUUCAGUGGGGAAGAAAGCCUUGGGGCUAAUACCCUCGAGGAAGGACAUCACCCACAGAAGAAGCACCGGCUAACUCCGUGCCAGCAGCCGCGGUAAUACGGAGGGUGCGAGCGUUAAUCGGAAUUACUGGGCGUAAAGCGCGCGUAGGCGGUCUGAUAAGCCGGUUGUGAAAGCCCCGGGCUCAACCUGGGAACGGCAUCCGGAACUGUCAGGUUAGAGUGCAGGAGAGGAAGGUAGAAUUCCCGGUGUAGCGGUGAAAUGCGUAGAGCUCGGGAGGAAUACCAGUGGCGAAGGCGGCCUUCUGGACUGACACUGACGCUGAGGUGCGAAAGCGUGGGUAGCAAACAGGAUUAGAUACCCUAGUAGUC
rnacentral:rRNA from 1 species